GAUGAAGAACGUAGCGAAAUGCGAUAAGUAAUGUGAAUUGCAGAAUUCAGUGAAUCAUCGAAUCUUUGAACGCACAUUGCGCCCGCCAGUAUUCUGGCGGGCAUGCCUGUUCGAGCGUCAUUUCAACCAUCAAGCCCCCGGCUUGUGUUGGGGACCUGCGGCUGCCGCAGGCCCUGAAAACCAGUGGCGGGCUCGCUAGUCACUCCGAGCGUAGUAGUUACAUCUCGCUCAGGGCGUGCUGCGGGUUCCGGCCGUUAAAAGCCUUAUUUACCCAAGGUUGACCUCGGAUCAGGUAGGAAGGCCCGCUGAACUUAAGCAUAUCAAUAAGCGGAGGA
rnacentral:misc_RNA from 1 species